GAUGAACGCUGGCGGCGUGCCUAAUACAUGCAAGUCGAGCGAACGGACGAGAAGCUUGCUUCUCUGAUGUUAGCGGCGGACGGGUGAGUAACACGUGGAUAACCUACUUAUAAGACUGGGAUAACUUCGGGAAACCGGAGCUAAUACCGGAUAAUAUUUUGAACUGCAUGGUUCAAAAGUGAAAGACGGUCUUGCUUUCACUUAUAGAUGGAUCCGCGCUGCAUUAGCUAGUUGGUAAGGUAACGGCUUACCAAGGCAACGAUGCAUAGCCGACCUGAGAGGGUGAUCGGCCACACUGGAACUGAGACACGGUCCAGACUCCUACGGGAGGCAGCAGUAGGGAAUCUUCCGCAAUGGGCGAAAGCCUGACGGAGCAACGCCGCGUGAGUGAUGAAGGUCUUCGGAUCGUAAAACUUUGUUAUUAGGGAAGAACAUAUGUGUAAGUAACUGUGCACAUCUUGACGGUACCUAAUCAGAAAGCCACGGCUAACUACGUG
rnacentral:rRNA from 1 species